AAAGUUGUAAGUUUUAAUUUUGAAACCUGCAGAAUCCAAAGUUCGUGAGGAGAACACAGGAAUUUAAAUGUUCAAGUGUCAGUGCUGAUGGAACAUGAUGAAUUAAAUUUCAAUAUACAAUUUUUUGAACAUAUAAAGUUAACAAAAAAGUGUAUUUAAUCUUUUUUAUGGCUACGAUCGAAGGAAAGACAUUUGAUAUGUAUUCUAUAGUUGUUGAAUUUGUUAACGUCGUAUAGUUUUGGUGUAGAUAAAUAGAUAUGUUAAUUGAGUAAAAUAAAAGGAAAAAGAUCAAAAAUUUCCGACUCUCGGUUGAACUUGGCUCAUCCUUUUGCGGCAAGCUGUUGGUGCGGACUAAGUUGUGUCUUGGGACUGUGGUUGUGGUGGUCGUGUUUGCUUGUCUAUCGCUACUCGAUCGAGUGUGUGUUUAGGAUUUUAUUUUUCUUAUUCUGCUUCUUGUUAUCUAUGUAUUUCUGUCACAAAUUAAAAACUUGGUAAUAAUAUCUUAACAUUUUUACCAAAAAAAAAAAAAAAAAAAAUCCUCAGUUACAUUAGUUUCUCUUAUUAAUCUGUCAUAUAUAUCUUGUCCCCUUUGAAAGUGUUUUACGAAGAACAAACAUAAAUCAGAUCUAACCUUUUUUAAUCUCUUUUGCAUGUUGGAUCUGAUGACUUUCUUGGUUAUUCCGAUGAGCUGGAAACAUGUUACAAUGCCUUUUUUAUUGAAAGUUUAAGCCGUACAAACAAAUAUGGUCACAACUACUCAAAUGGUAUACAAUCUAUACAAUUAACGUUUGUUAAAAUUGUAGAAACUUAAACAAUAUAUAAUUAUUUUAAAUAUGUAAAAUAUAAUAAUUUUUUUAAAAAAAAUAUUCUUAUUUUCUAGAUAAAAAGUAUUUCUUAUAUUAAUUAUCCCAAGAUUUUAUUAUUUAACAGUUACUUUGUAUAAUAGUUAAAUAGUUGAUAUAAAUCAAAAAAGUUAAUUUAAUAUUUAUAUAUUAAUAAAAUAAAUUAAUCUAUGCCAUAAAAUAAAUAGAGUCUUCCAUUCGCCAACAUUGCAUUCAUCACCCAAAGACUUCAAAUAGUUCUUCCUACAUGUAGCUUGAAUCUUUAUCCCUGGAAAAACAUAUUUAUUUUACCACAGAUGUUAGUCCAUGAUCUCACGAAAAAAUUAAAAAAGGGGUUCGUUUGUAGCUUCAUACUGUACAUCUAAAAAUUGAAGCUUCCAAAUCUAUGAACACGAAUGUUAUAUAUACUUGAAGUUUAUUAUCGAUUGCAAUACAAAUGUAUGGUUGAAGUUAAUGAUUGUAAUUAAAACAUUGAAUUACAUAUUAAUAGAUAAAACAUUUGUAUCGAAUAAUGUAAGUUUUAAUUUUGAAACCUGCAGAAUCCAAAGUUGUAAGUUUUAAUUUUGAAACCUGCAGAAUCCAAAGUUCGUGAGGAGAACAUAUGAAUUUAAAUGUUCAAGUGUCAGUGCUGAUGGAACAUGAUGAAUUAAAUUUCAAUAUACAAUUUUUUGAACAUAUAAAGUUAACAAAAAAGUGUAUUUAAUCUUUUUUAUGGCUACGAUCGAAGGAAAGACAUUUGAUAUGUAUUCUAUAGUUGUUGAAUUUGUUAACGUCGUAUAGUUUUGGUGUAGAUAAAUAGAUAUGUUAAUUGAGUAAAAUAAAAGGA
rnacentral:lncRNA from 1 species